rnacentral:rRNA from 1 species
UACGAAGGGUGCAAGCGUUACUCGGAAUUACUGGGCGUAAAGCGCGCGUAGGCGGACCUGCAAGUCGGGGGUGAAAGCCCGAGGCUCAACCUCGGAACUGCCUUCGAUACUGCGGGUCUCGAGUCCGGGAGAGGUGAGUGGAAUUCCUAGUGUAGAGGUGAAAUUCGUAGAUAUUAGGAAGAACACCAGUGGCGAAGGCGGCUCACUGGCCCGGUACUGACGCUGAGGUGCGAAAGCGUGGGGAGCAAACAGG